rnacentral:lncRNA from 1 species
AUGUAUGUGUGUGUGUUUGUGUCUAUCUAUCUAUCUAUCUAUCUAUCUAUCUAUCUAUCUAUCGACAAGAUAUAUUCAGAGGAAGUUUGCCAUUACCUUCUCCUAAAUAUAGCCUUCAUCACUUUGUAUUCCCUAAACAGGCCCAGCUCAGCUUAUCCUAUAUACACAAAGAUAAAUUCAGAAAUUUUACUUAAAAAAUCAACCCAAAAAACCUGGGUUGACAUGGGUGAAUGUGAGUACUGUACCUUAAGAUUUAUAAAAAAGGAACCAUCUGUUAUCGAACACCACUACCCCCUCCCAAAUAAAAAGGAUCUAUAGUUUGGGGAUCUAUAGUUUGCUAAGGACAUCAGGCUAAAAUGGUAUGAAAGGGUUAAUUCUUGGUCACCCGAUGACAGGAGUAGCAGCAGCAUGGACUCCUUUUCUCUCUGGCUAUAUCUGUAUACAGCUUAUCUGGUUAUAUAUAUAUUUACUAGCUGUGCCCGGCCACGCGUUGCUGUGGCGAAACAUGGUGGUUUGGGAAAUAAAGUAUUGAGGAAUUGGUGGUAGUUAAGGUCAAGGGUAAAGGUUUUCCCCUGACAUUAAGUCCAGUCGUGUCUGACUCAGGGGGUUGGUGCUCAUCUCCAUUUCUAAGCCGAAGAGCCGGCGUUGUCCGUAGACUCCUCCAAGGUCAUGUGGGAUGACUGCAUGGAGCGGCGUUACCUUCCCGCCGGAGCAGUACCUAUUGAUGCACUCACAUUUGCAUGUUUCCGAACUUCUGGGUUGGCAGAAGCUGGGGCUAACAGUGGGGGCUCUCUCCGCUCCCCCAAUUCAAACCUGUGGCCUUUCGGUCCAGAAGUUCAGCAGCUCAGCGCUUUAACACGCUGCGCCAUCAGGGGAUAUUAUUUCCUAAAGGUUGUGAAUAUACAAUAUUUCUGAUUGGUUUUUUUUGUUUGUUGGAGGCAAGUAUGAAUGCUGCAAUUAGGAAAAAUGAUUAGGAUGUAAUGGCCUUGCAGCUUUAAAGCCUGGCUGUUUCCUCCCUAAGUGAUUUUUUUCUUGGGAGGUGUUAGCUGGCCCUGAUUGUUUCCUGUCUGGAAUUCCCUUGUUUUCAGAGUGGUAUUGUUUGCGAUAUUUUAUGUGCUUCUACUGUCUGUGGCCCUGAGAAAAUAGAGGAUUUUCCAGACUUUGAUUAUGGGAAUACUUUGUUGGGAGGUGUUAGCUGGCCCUGAUUGUUUCCUGUGUGGAAUUCCCCUGUUUAUUUACUGUCCUGGUUUUAGAGAUUAUAUUGUUCUGCAUUAUUCUAUCCCAGUAAUUAUUUCAUAUUAAAGAAGAAUCUCACUUAUCCAACAUUCGCUUAUACAAUGUUCUGGAUUAUCCAACGCAGUCUGCCUUUUCAUAAUCAAUGUUUUUGUAGUCAGUGUUUUAAAUUCAUUGUGAUAUUUUAGUGGUAAAUUUGUAAAUACAGUACAGUAGAGUCUCACUUAUCCAACAUAAAUGGGCCGGCAGAACGUUGGAUAAGCGAAUAUGUUGGAUAAUGAGGAAUUAAGGAUAACCCUAUUAAACAUCAAAUUAAGUUAUGAUUUUACAAAUUAAGCACCAAAACAUCAUGUUAGACAACAAAUUUGUCAGAAAAAGUAGUUCAGUACACAGUAAUGCUAUGUAGUAAUUACUGUAUUUAUGAAUUUAGCACCAAAAUAUCACGAUAUAUUGAAAACAUUGACUACAAAAAUGCAUUGGAUAAUCCAGAAUGUUGGAUAAGUGAGACUCUACUGUAAAUACUACAUAGCAUUACUGUGCAUGGAACUACUUUUUCUGUCAAAUUUGUUGUAUAAUAUGAUGUUUUGGUGCUUAAUUUGUAUAACGAUUACCUAAUUUGAUGUUUAAUUGGCUUUUCCUGAAUCCCUUCUUAUUAUCCAACAUAUUCACUUAUCCUGCCGGCCUGUUUACGUUGGAUAAGUGAGACUCUACUGUAUAUUUCUAAUCUUAUAUUAUCUGCUCAGAACUGGAUUAUAUGAGGCUCCUUCUUCACAGCUGUAUAAAAUGCACACUGAAGUGGAUUAUAUGGCAGUGUGGAGUGAAGAUAAUCCAGUGCAAAGCAGAUAAUAUAAGAUUAUAAAUGGGUUAUAUUGCUGUGUUGAAGGGCCUUGAGUCUACACUGCCAUAUAAUCCAGUUAAAAUCUGAUAAUCUGUGGAAGAAGCCUAAGUAAGGCCUAAAUCUGCCUGUCCCCGAACUGAAACCUGGCUGUCCCUUGGUUGCUAGGCAACGAAGUGGGCAGAGAUUAGCCCUCUAAACUGGCAGCAAUUGGAUAAAAAAAAUUAUUGAUCUCCCUCUAAUUAGGACUUUGUUUUUCUUUUCUUUUUGUUGUAUCAACCUUGAGGCGUGGAUGAUGGGUUGUGUUGUCAAAUUUUGAGGUUGGGGGGCCUGUACUUUUGUUGUUUUGUGAAUUGCCGUGAUGCCAUCACUCUUUUAUAUAUAUAGAUAGUAGAAAUGAACAUGUGGCAAAUGUGCUAGAAUCACAGCUACCAGGGACAUUAGCCUGUGCUUGAGCAGCCACAGGCAAUGGCUCACAAACACAGAAAUUUCAAGGCUUUUUGUGUAGCUGGGGUGAGAGAAGGUAUUUACAUUUCUAUACUCUAGCCUGGGAAAGUAUAUUCAAACAGUCAGGGUAAAAACCAAGAAAACAAUUACUUUAUUUUAUUUCUGCAAUACAGAAUCAGCUUGAGGCCCAGAUGAUAACGACACAAACUAUACAAAGGGCUUUCUUACCCAAGCUUUUGUGGGAGUUUGUUAUCUGGCCACUCUAGUUAGUUUGAAGGUAGUUUUGAACUGCAUUAGAUGGGCAGUCUAUAUAGUGCCACAGUGUCUUCUACACACACACAGUGUAUGUGUGUGUGUAGGAGACAUUAGCAUGGCAUCUACGUGGUUACCCGGGCUAUCAAUCUAACUCAACACGGCUCCUUUAAGGUUCUUAUUGAGUUACUAAAAUCUAAUCUAAGCCUUGAACACACACACAUAUGUGUUCUCGAGACAAGAAACACAGUUUCAGUUCACAAUAUGUCAUAUGGGAAUAAUUAUAUUGUCUUAAAUUAGGGAAGAGCUAUAAAGAUUACAGAGAUAAUGUAAAGAGCAAUUAAUGUUUAUAUGUUGUGUUAAAAUUACAUGUGUUUUGCAAACCAAGUCCAAAGGUUUUAGAUUUUAGAAACAACCUGUGAUCUUUGGUGCAGCAGGUGAAAAGAUGACAGCCCUAGUGACUGACAUUGUGUUUUAAAUGAGUUGUUAAAACAAUCUCAGCAACUGCCAGUUCAAUACACUGUUGUUUUUUCUCGCCUUUUUGCUUCCCUUCUCUUUGCUCCAGGGGAUUCAACAGACGCUCAGAGUCUAUAAUAAGUUAUUCCUAGGCAGCCUCCAUGCUGAUUCUAUGGAUUUCCAUUUCCACACAUUCCCCUCUAGACUGCUGCUAACUAAUAUCCUCAUUUCUCCAGCGCUCCCCCAGGGAUUGUUCUCAUUCAACUCUGUCCUUCUGGGAUUAAAGACAUUCAUAUUACUGGUGGGAAAACAAUUUCUGAAUUUUGUCGGCACUUUUCAGAGCAAGUUUCUCUCCUUGUAGCACAAUUAAACAAGACAAGCUGGAAGAAAAAUACAAUUUAAUAUGUUUUUAUUAGACAUGUUGUGUGGUGGAUGGAGCUCACUGCUGCUUUAAGUCACUUAAAAGUAAUGCUUCCAUGAGCUUCACAGAAUUUGCAGGAAUUCUGCUUUUUAUUUUAUUUCCUCAGACUACUUUUUCACAAGGAAAAGUUAUAAUAUGUAUGGAAUCUGCAAUAUGGAAGGUGGCAGCCUGUCCCCCGACAUUACAAAGUACACCCAUUUUGGCCUUGUUUCUGCCAACUCUAGUUCCAAUCCUGUUUUAAUGCAGGUUGUGACUGACUUAAACUGAGGUUGUGUGGAUGUUGAUAGGAAAAGGUUUCUGCCACUUUGAUAUAUAAAAAAGAGCCAAUGAUACAGAAAUAUUGCCUACUCCCGAGCAUGCUUUGGCAGAGCUCAGGAGUGGGCAAUGGCUGGCCUUCCAGAUGUUGCUGAAUUAGCUAGCAUAUCCACUGAUGGGGAGUUCUGGCAUAGUAGUUUAACAGCAUGAUCUGUAGGAUUAAGUCAUGCGUGCCCACAUGGGCCAAAUUAAAUGGACUCACUUUGCAACUGCUGCAAGGAGACCACAUGACAUAUGGCUGGUUUUGCAUCUUAAGUGCCGGUUUCCACCAUUAAUCCAGAGCAAGGCAAAUUGGAAUUUAGAGGACUGCUCCAGAAUGAUCCUAAUGUUUAUUGAAUUGUGAAUAGCUGGUUCAGACUGGAUCUGGUGCCAUCUGUAUCCACACUUCAAAAAGACCCACCCCUGUUUUGCCAACCAGAAGCAAGU